UGGUCCUUCAUUAAGUGCGGCAGACUCGCAUAAUUUACCAUUAAAUUAAAAUUAUUUUAUAAACAAAAUCAUGAAAAUACUUCAUAUAUUAGUGAUAACGCUUCUUUUCUGUGUAAGUUUAUAUGAAGCAAAUCCCAAACCAAAACUGUUCAGGGACUGGGAAAACUAUGACAACGGUGGUUCUCGUGAGCCACGAAGUGCCAACAGAUGCAAUCGCUGUAAGGUGACAAACGUAGGAAAUGGACACGACAACACUAACACGGUGUAUAUUCAAACUGAUUAAAACAAAACAUAACAAAUAAUAUUUAAGUAAAAUCUUUUAUGUACUUACAUAUUAGUAUUUAUUUUAUUAAAUAAUCAUUAAAUACAUUACAUACUAAAUAUUUCAAUGUUUCAUUUGUAAAAAACCUUAUGUAAUGUUAAAUGUUAAUAGAUAAAUUUUAAAUUAAUGUUAUUAUGUAAAGCACUACGUCAUAUUUAAAGUUGCACUUUCUUUCAUUAAAUUUCAUCGCUAUCUAUCUAGCUUUGUUUUCAAUGUUUUGUAUAAAUGUGUUCACUAAUAUUUAUAGUGAUUUGAUAUUUAUCUUGAAAAAGGCCAUAAAUUAAAAGAUUGAUGGAAACUUAUCGUUUUAUAUUUUAGUAACAUAGUCAUAACAUAUUAGCUACCUAUUUCUUAAGAAGUUAAUAAAGUUUUAACAUAUUAUCAAUAUUAAAAACUGAACUAAAUGCUUUAUUCGAGAGUAUAAAUUAUUUUAAUAAAAUACGCAGAGUACAAGCCCCUAGUUGUUCAUUAGAUACGAAAUGUAACAAGUAGAAUAAUAUUGUAUGUUAUAAAAAAUGUAACAAUUUAACAUUAACCAAAACGUAUAUAAGGCGUUUA